rnacentral:rRNA from 1 species
GACGAACGCUGGCGGCGUGCUUAACACAUGCAAGUCGAACGGAAAGGCCCUGGUUUUGUGGGGUGCUCGAGUGGCGAACGGGUGAGUAACACGUGAGUAACCUGCCCUUGACUUUGGGAUAACUUCAGGAAACUGGGGCUAAUACCGGAUAGGAGCUCCUGCUGCAUGGUGGGGGUUGGAAAGUUUCGGCGGUUGGGGAUGGACUCGCGGCUUAUCAGCUUGUUGGUGGGGUAGUGGCUUACCAAGGCUUUGACGGGUAGCCGGCCUGAGAGGGUGACCGGCCACAUUGGGACUGAGAUACGGCCCAGACUCCUACGGGAGGCAGCAGUGGGGAAUAUUGCACAAUGGGCGGAAGCCUGAUGCAGCAACGCCGCGUGCGGGAUGACGGCCUUCGGGUUGUAAACCACUUUCGCCUGUGACGAAGCGUGAGUGACGGUAAUGGGUAAAGAAGCACCGGCUAACUACGUG